rnacentral:rRNA from 1 species
UACAGAGGGGGCAAGCGUUGUUCGGAAUUACUGGGCGUAAAGGGCGCGUAGGCGGCCUUCUAAGUCGAACGUGAAAUCCCCGGGCUCAACCCGGGAACUGCGUCCGAUACUGGAAGGCUUGAAUCCGGGAGAGGGAUGCGGAAUUCCAGGUGUAGCGGUGAAAUGCGUAGAUAUCUGGAGGAACACCGGUGGCGAAGGCGGCAUCCUGGACCGGCAUUGACGCUAAAGCGCGAAAGCCAGGGGAGCAAACGGG